CCUACGGGUGGCUGCAGUGGGGAAUAUUGCACAAUGGGCGCAAGCCUGAUGCAGCCAUGCCGCGUGUGUGAAGAAGGCCUUCGGGUUGUAAAGCACUUUCAGCGGGGAGGAAGGCGGUGAGGUUAAUAACCUCAUCGAUUGACGUUACCCGCAGAAGAAGCACCGGCUAACUCCGUGCCAGCAGCCGCGGUAAUACGGAGGGUGCAAGCGUUAAUCGGAAUUACUGGGCGUAAAGCGCACGCAGGCGGUCUGUCGAGUCGGAUGUGAAAUCCCCGGGCUCAACCUGGGAACUGCAUUCGAAACUGGCAGGCUAGAGUCUUGUAGAGGGGGGUAGAAUUCCAGGUGUAGCGGUGAAAUGCGUAGAGAUCUGGAGGAAUACCGGUGGCGAAGGCGGCCCCCUGGACAAAGACUGACGCUCAGGUGCGAAAGCGUGGGGAGCAAACAGGAUUAGAUACCCCUGUAGUC
rnacentral:rRNA from 1 species